rnacentral:rRNA from 1 species
GUGUCAGCAGCCGCGGUAAUACGUAGGGACCAAGCGUUGUUCGGAUUUACUGGGCGUAAAGGGCGCGUAGGCGGCAAUUCAAGUCAGCUGUGAAAUCUCUGGGCUUAACCCAGAACGGCCAGCUGAUACUGCUUUGCUAGAGUGCAGAAGGGGCAAUCGGAAUUCUUGGUGUAGCGGUGAAAUGCGUAGAUAUCAAGAGGAACACCUGAGGUGAAGACGGGUUGCUGGGCUGACACUGACGCUGAGGCGCGAAAGCCAGGGGAGCAAACGGGAUUAGAUACCCGGGUAGUCC